AACGAACGCUGGCGGCGUGCCUAACACAUGCAAGUCGAGCGAGAAAGCCCGCAAGGGUGAGUAAAGCGGCGCACGGGUGCGUAACACGUGGGUAAUCUGCCCUGGAGUCCGGAAUAACUCGCCGAAAGGCGUGCUAAUGCCGGAUGAGACCACGGGAGCCUCGGCUCCUGCGGGAAAAGGUGGCCUCUGUAUACAAGCUAUCGCUCUAGGAUGAGCCCGCGGCCCAUCAGCUCGUUGGCGGGGGAAUGGCCCACCAAGGCUACGACGGGUAGCGGGUGUGAGAGGACGAUCAGCCACACUGGAACUGGGACACGGUCCAGACUCCUACGGGAGGCAGCAGUGGGGAAUCUUGCGCAAUGGGCGAAAGCCUGACGCAGCAACGCCGCGUGUGUGAUGAAGGUCUUCGGAUCGUAAAGCACUGUCGCGAGGGACGAAUAAGGGGCGGGCUAACACUCCGUUCCGAUGACGGUACCUCGAGAGGAAGCACCGGCUAACUCUGUGCCAGCCGCCGCAGUAAGAC
rnacentral:rRNA from 1 species